UACCAUAUAUGAGAUUAAAAUCCUUGGGACGCUGUUGAACCACUGCUAUCUAUGAAAUCAUGGAGACUAUACUUGUCAGGCACAGUUACCAGCUUUCUAUCACAAGAGAUUACAUUACAUUUCCUGUCAUUUAUGGAAAUAAAUUCAAACACUGAAUAAUAUUCCAUUGUGUACCACAUUUUCAUUAUCAAAUCAUCAAUUGAUGGAUGUCGUGGCUGUUUCCAUUUCCUGGCUAUUUGACUUGCUUCUAAUGUCAAAAAUAAUGAAAUGCCAGUUCCAAGAUUAUCAUAUGACUGUGCCUUCUGCCACGAUCAGACUUCUGGUCUCGCAUUUGCUCAUUCCGACGAAGAACUUUGCCAUGUUGUGUCCUAUAGAGAGGCCCACAUCUUCAGAAGGAAAUGCAGAAAAACCAGGAAGAAGACAAUCUUGUGAGCUAAAAAGUUCCACCCCAGUAUCUGGAACCAACUAAGAGACAAGCCUCUGGGCAGGCCUGGGAGGGAGUACUGUGGUUAAGUUAACCGAGGUGAGAAGAACCAGCCUCAUCGUGAUGGUGCCAUUCCCUGACCUUGUGUCCUGAACCGCUCAAGAAGGAAAGAGGCAGCUGCA